UGCAGUCGACGGANGGCCUCUUCGGAGGUACUCGAGUGGCGAACGGGUGAGUAACACGUGGGUAAUCUGCCCUGCACUUCGGGAUAAGCCUGGGAAACUGGGUCUAAUACCGGAUAGGACCUUUUGGCGCAUGCCUUUUGGUGGAAAGCUUUUGCGGUGUGGGAUGGGCCCGCGGCCUAUCAGCUUGUUGGUGGGGUGACGGCCUACCAAGGCGACGACGGGUAGCCGGCCUGAGAGGGUGUCCGGCCACACUGGGACUGAGAUACGGCCCAGACUCCUACGGGAGGCAGCAGUGGGGAAUAUUGCACAAUGGGCGCAAGCCUGAUGCAGCGACGCCGCGUGGGGGAUGACGGCCUUCGGGUUGUAAACCUCUUUCAGCAGGGACGAAGCGCAAGUGACGGUACCUGCAGAAGAAGCACCGGCCAACUACGUGCCAGCAGCCGCGGUAAUACGUAGGGUGCGAGCGUUGUCCGGAAUUACUGGGCGUAAAGAGCUCGUAGGUGGUUUGUCGCGUUGUUCGUGAAAACCGGGGGCUUAACCCUCGGCGUGCGGGCGAUACGGGCAGACUGGAGUACUGCAGGGGAGACUGGAAUUCCUGGUGUAGCGGUGGAAUGCGCAGAUAUCAGGAGGAACACCGGUGGCGAAGGCGGGUCUCUGGGCAGUAACUGACGCUGAGGAGCGAAAGCGUGGGGAGCGAACAGGAUUAGAUACCCUGGUAGUCCACGCCGUAAACGGUGGGUACUAGGUGUGGGUUUCCUUCCUUGGAAUCCGUGCCGUAGCUAACGCAUUAAGUACCCCGCCUGGGGAGUACGGCCGCAAGGCUAAAACUCAAAGGAAUUGACGGGGGCCCGCACAAGCGGCGGAGCAUGUGGAUUAAUUCGAUGCAACGCGAAGAACCUUACCUGGGUUUGACAUGCACAGGACGCCGGCAGAGAUGUCGGUUCCCUUGUGGCCUGUGUGCAGGUGGUGCAUGGCUGUCGUCAGCUCGUGUCGUGAGAUGUUGGGUUAAGUCCCGCAACGAGCGCAACCCUUGUCUCAUGUUGCCAGCGGGUAAUGCCGGGGACUCGUGAGAGACUGCCGGGGUCAACUCGGAGGAAGGUGGGGAUGACGUCAAGUCAUCAUGCCCCUUAUGUCCAGGGCUUCACACAUGCUACAAUGGCCGGUACAAAGGGCUGCGAUGCCGUAAGGUUAAGCKWAUMCUUUUAAMRCYSGWCUSRGUUCGSAUCGGRSYCUGCAACUCGACCCCSUGAAGUCGGARUCGCUAGUAAUCGCAGAUCMGCAACGCUGCGGUGAAUACGUKCCCGGGCCUUGUACRCACCGCCCGUCACGUCAUGAAAGUCGGUAACACCCGAAGCCRGUGGCCU
rnacentral:rRNA from 1 species